rnacentral:rRNA from 1 species
AAUCAACGCUGGCGGCGUGCCUAACACAUGCAAGUCGAACGCGAAAGCCCGCAAGGGUAAGUAGAGUGGCGCACGGGUGAGUAACACGUGGACAACCUGCCUUCGAGUGGGGAAUAACCUUCCGAAAGGAGGGCUAAUACCGCAUAACACCUCGGGACACAAGUUCUGGGGUUGAAAAGAGCAAUUUGCUCGAAGAGGGGUCCGCGCCUGAUUAGCUAGUUGGUGAGGUAACGGCUCACCAAGGCUUCGAUCAGUAGCCGUCCUGAGAGGGAGCACGGCCACACUGGAACUGAGACACGGUCCAGACUCCUACGGGAGGCAGCAGUGGGGAAUUUUGGCAAUGGGCGAAAGCCUGACCAAGCAACGCCGCGUGGGUGAUGAAGUAUCUUGGUACGUAAAACCCUUUCGGCAGGGACGAACCUAAUGACGGUACCUGCGGAAGAAGCCCCGGCUAACUCCGUGCCAGCAGCCGCCUGUAAC